AUGAGCUCCUCGCCGGCGGUCGCGGUCGCGGUCGCGUCUGCGGCCGUGGUAGCGCUGGCUGUCGCUAACCGCGUGCUCUAUAAGCUCGCGCUGGUGCCCCUCAAGUCCUAUCCCUUCCUCCUCGCUCAGCUCACCACGUUCGGGUACGUCACGGUGUACUUUUCAAUACUCUAUGCGAGGUACCGCGCGGGGGUGGUGACGCGGGACAUGCUGACACUGCCGAAGAUCCGGUUCGCUGUCAUCGGCUUGCUAGAGGCUCUUGGGGUCGCCGCUGGAAUGUCUGCGGGAGCUAUGCUGCCUGGCCCUGCUAUUCCUAUACUGUCUCAGUCUUUCCUGGUGUGGCAGCUUAUCUUCUCUGUGUUGCUUUUGGGAAAGACCUACUCUCUGAGACAAAUCAUUGGUUGCUUGCUUGUAACUUCUGGUGUGAUUCUUGCUGUUGCGAGUGGGGCAAAUGAUGGUCAUCUUCUAUCUGGAGUCAAGUUAAUUUGGCCAUUGCUGAUGGUUGUUUCAUCGGCAUUCCAAGCUGGUGCAUCCAUUUUGAAGGAGUCUGUUUUCGUUGAUGGUGCAAAACGUCUUAAAGGGAAACGGCCUGACAUCUUCGUGGUUAAUUCAUUCGGAUCUGGGUUUCAGGCUCUUGUUGUCUUCCUUCUUCUCCCAUUACUUUCUAAUUUGAGGGGGAUUAAGCUUGCUGAGCUUUCUGGCCAUUUAAAUGGUGGUGCUGAGUGCUUCUUAAAUGUUGGGGAGAGCCCAAUUGAUUGUGGAGGUGCUCCAUUCCUACCAUUGCUUUUUAUAUUCGUAAACAUGGCUUUCAACAUCUCGUUGCUUAAUUUGGUAAAGAUGUCGUCUGCCGUGGUUGCUUCACUUACAGCAACUUCCGCCGUGCCAAUAUCAAUCUACAUCCUUUCUCUUCCUUUGCCCUACAUCCCUCAAGGCGCGGAAUUAAGCGCUUCUUUUAUCUUCGGUGGCAUUGUAUUGUUGAUGGGCCUAAUUCUGUAUAACCUUCCCCAAUCAUCUAAAGAGUCAAAGACUGACUAA
rnacentral:rRNA from 1 species